GGUCCAGACUUUGAUUCUGGCUCAGGAUGAACGCUAGCUACAGGCUUAACACAUGCAAGUCGAGGGGCAGCGGUAUCGAAAGCUUGCUUUCGGUAGCCGGCGACCGGCGCACGGGUGAGUAACGCGUAUCGAACCUGCCUCAUACUCGGGAAUAGCCUUGCGAAAGUAAGAUUAAUGCCCGGUGUUUUCAGAGUCCCGCAUGAGGCUUUGAACAAAGAUUUAUCGGUAUGAGAUGGCGAUGCGUCCCAUUAGCUUGUUGGCGGGGUAACGGCCCACCAAGGCAUCGAUGGGUAGGGGUUCAGAGAGGAAGGUCCCCCACAUUGGAACUGAGACACGGUCCAAACUCCUACGGGAGGCAGCAGUGAGGAAUAUUGGUCAAUGGGCGGAAGCCUGAACCAGCCAAGUAGCGUGCAGGAAGACGGCCCUCCGGGUUGUAAACUGCUUUUAGUUGGGAAUAAAACGGGGCUCGUGAGCCCCCUUGCAUGUACCAUCAGAAAAAGGACCGGCUAAUUCCGUGCCAGCAGCCGCGGUAAUACGGAAGGUCCGGGCGUUAUCCGGAUUUGUUGGGUUUAAAGGGAGCGCAGGCGGACCUUUAAGUCAGCUGUGAAAUACGGCGGCUCAACCGUCGAACUGCAGUUGAUACUGGAGGUCUUGAGUGCACACAGGGAUGCUGGAAUUCAUGGCGUAGCGGUGAAAUGCUCAGAUAUCAUGAAGAACUCCGAUCGCGAAGGCAGGCAUCCGGGGUGCAACUGACGCUGAGGCUCGAAAGUGCGGGUAUCAAACAGGAUUAGAUACCCUGGUAGUCCGCACAGUAAACGAUGAAUACUCGCGGUUUGCGAUACAUUGUAAGCCGCCAAGCGAAAGCGUUAAGUAUUCCACCUGGGGAGUACGCCGGCAACGGUGCAACUCAAAGGAAUUGACGG
rnacentral:rRNA from 1 species